GUUUGCAGGGUUAACCUGGAUGGCGUUCGAUCAUUUUUCCUGUUGUUGUGUGUUGCAAUUGGCGCUUUAAUCCAGUUAUCCAGCACGAAUAGAUCACAUUUACCAUCGAACAUAUAAAGAGUAGUUGUCCUGCUGGUAGGUUUUACAGCAGAGGGGGGAACACUUCUUUUGCGCGUUGUACACAGUACUGGAUCACGAGCAUAAAUAGGCGAUUGCGAUUCAUUAGUUUAAUAGGUACCGUUACUAAGCGUAAACGGAGGGAGGCUGGUGAUGCUCGCUCUAACCGCAGUAGGUCACAUUAAGCACGGCGAUCGGAAGAGCGGACUGGCGUGAGGAAUGUUUUGCAUGACAGGGUCUCUGGAAGACAGGGCUUUUAUCCUCCCCAGCUGACCAGUUUCGGGUCCCAGAACAUUCCAAGACCAUUAGAGAAGCUGCUUAAACAUCCCAACACCUGCCCAGAGUCCUGAGCGCUCUCCUGGAUAACACCUGCCCAGAGUCCUGAGUGCUCUCUGAAUAACACCUGCCCAGAGUCCUGAGCGCUCUCCUGGAUAACACCUGCCCAGAGUCCUGAGCGCGCUCCUGAAUAACACCUGCCCAGAGUCCUGAGCGCUCUCCUGGAUAACACCUGCCCAGAGUCCUGAGCGCUCUCCUGGAUAACACCUGCCCAGAGUCCUGAGCGCUCUCCUGGAUAACACCUGCCCAGAGUCCUGAGCGCUCUCCUGGAUAACACCUGCCCAGAGUCCUGAGCGCUCUCCUGAAUAACACCUGCCCAGAGUCCUGAGCGCGCUCCUGGAUAACACCUGCCCAGAGUCCUGAGCGCUCUCCUGGAUAACACCUGCCCAGAGUCCUGAGCGCUCUCCUGGAUAACACCUGCCCAGAGUCCUGAGUGCUCUCCUGGAUAACACCUGCCCAGAGUCCUGAGCGCUCUCCUGGAUAACACCUGCCCAGAGUCCUGAGCGCUGUCCUGGAUAACACCUGCCCAGAGUCCUGAGCGCUCUCCUGGAUAACACCUGCCCGGAGUCCUGAGCGCUCUCCUGGAUAACACCUGCCCGGAGUCCUGAGCGCUCUCCUGGAUAACACCUGCCCAGAGUCCUGAGCGCUCUCCUGGAUAACACCUUUGGAACAUUGCAGGAACAGCAUUGGAACAUUUUUCAGUUUUGUCAGUUAAAAAGAUUGAAUGGAUGUUUCCUCCAUAAUGUUGGAUAAAUGAUGAACAUUUAUAAAUGAAAACAUGUUGACAGUGGGUUUGUAUGUGAAAUGCCUGUAUGGAGCAUUUUGAACAGUAAAUACGAUUUAAGAUUU